UGGCGGGCGUAAUAUUUGCGACAAUGGGGGAAACCCUGAUCCAGCGACGCCGCGUGGGUGAAGAAGGCCUGCGGGUUGUAAAGCCCUUUCGGUAGGGACGAAAGCUCUCGACCUAACACGUCGGGAGGUUGACUUAUCCUUGCCAAGAAGCCCCGGCUAAAUCUGUGCCCGCAGCCGCGGUAA
rnacentral:rRNA from 1 species